AUCCAUGUCAAUAGUAUGAGUCACAUCCAUGGGAUAGAAUAUCAAAGCUUCAGAUGGUUUAUAUUUGGAACAAGGGACUCCAGAAAAGCUGGACACAAACAUAAUGGAGAAAGGACCAGGAUGAUAUGCUAACAGGGCAAAGCAGACAAGGCACAGGAGGAGCAUAAUCACUGGCAGAGACCAGUUGUGCUGAAUGGUCUGUUUCUGUGUUGUAAAU